GGCCGGCCCGACCGCGGGGCUCCUCCCCGGGCAGCCGCGGUUGCCAGGCGGAUCCCCGCGGGCCGGCGGCUGGUGCUGUGCGGGUCUCGGGCCGAGGGAUUUCGAGGGCUCCCUGCCUCCUCCCCUCCCUCCGCCUGCCAGGGUCCCAGAUAGCCAUGGUGCCUACAUACUCCAUGAUGGGACUUUUCAGAGGACACAUGAGUCUGAAAAGUAGCCCUUUUUCUCCUGGAUCUUCCUGCAAGCUCUCCAACCAGUACAUCAUUCAAGAUCACAUGGCUGCUCAUUACAAGAAACUGAUGUCCGCCAAAGCUGCUGUUGAUUCAUCUGCACCAAAGAGUUUGCGUACCAGUGUUA